AAGCGACUAAGCGUACACGGUGGAUGCCCUGGCAGUCAGAGGCGAUGAAGGACGUGCUAAUCUGCGAAAAGCGUCGGUAAGGUGAUAUGAACCGUUAUAACCGGCGAUGUCCGAAUGGGGAAACCCAGUGCAAUUCGUUGCACUAUCGUUAACUGAAUACAUAGGUUAACGAGGCGAACCGGGGGAACUGAAACAUCUAAGUACCCCGAGGAAAAGAAAUCAACCGAGAUUCCCCCAGUAGCGGCGAGCGAACGGGGAGCAGCCCAGAGUCUGAAUCAGCUUGUGUGUUAGUGGAACGGUCUGGAAAGUCCGACGGUACAGGGUGAUAGUCCCGUACACCAAAAUGCACAGGCUGUGAACUCGAAGAGUAGGGCGGGACACGUGGUAUCCUGUCUGAAUAUGGGGGGACCAUCCUCCAAGGCUAAAUACUCCUGACUGACCGAUAGUGAACCAGUACCGUGAGGGAAAGGCGAAAAGAACCCCGGCGAGGGGAGUGAAAAAGAACCUGAAACCGUGUACGUACAAGCAGUGGGAGCACCUUCGGGUGUGACUGCGUACCUUUUGUAUAAUGGGUCAGCGACUUAUAUUCUGUAGCAAGGUUAACCGUAUAGGGGAGCCGCAGGGAAACCGAGUCUUAACUGGGCGUUAAGUUGCAGGGUAUAGACCCGAAACCCGGUGAUCUAGCCAUGGGCAGGUUGAAGGUUGGGUAACACUAACUGGAGGACCGAACCGACUAAUGUUGAAAAAUUAGCGGAUGACUUGUGGCUGGGGGUGAAAGGCCAAUCAAACCGGGAGAUAGCUGGUUCUCCCCGAAAGCUAUUUAGGUAGCGCCUCGUGAAUUCAUCUUCGGGGGUAGAGCACUGUUUCGGCUAGGGGGUCAUCCCGACUUACCAACCCGAUGCAAACUACGAAUACCGAAGAAUGUUAUCACGGGAGACACACGGCGGGUGCUAACGUCCGUCGUGAAGAGGGAAACAACCCAGACCGCCAGCUAAGGUCCCAAAGUCAUGGUUAAGUGGGAAACGAUGUGGGAAGGCACAGACAGCCAGGAUGUUGGCUUAGAAGCAGCCAUCAUUUAAAGAAAGCGUAAUAGCUCACUGGUCGAGUCGGCCUGCGCGGAAGAUGUAACGGGGCUAAACCAUGCACCGAAGCUGCGGCAGCGACACUAUGUGUUGUUGGGUAGGGGAGCGUUCUGUAAGCCUGCGAAGGUGUGCUGUGAGGCAUGCUGGAGGUAUCAGAAGUGCGAAUGCUGACAUAAGUAACGAUAAAGCGGGUGAAAAGCCCGCUCGCCGGAAGACCAAGGGUUCCUGUCCAACGUUAAUCGGGGCAGGGUGAGUCGACCCCUAAGGCGAGGCCGAAAGGCGUAGUCGAUGGGAAACAGGUUAAUAUUCCUGUACUUGGUGUUACUGCGAAGGGGGGACGGAGAAGGCUAUGUUAGCCGGGCGACGGUUGUCCCGGUUUAAGCAUGUAGGCUGGUUGUCCAGGCAAAUCCGGAUAAUCAAGGCUGAGGUGUGAUGACGAGGCACUACGGUGCUGAAGUAACAAAUGCCCUGCUUCCAGGAAAAGCCUCUAAGCAUCAGGUAACAUCAAAUCGUACCCCAAACCGACACAGGUGGUCAGGUAGAGAAUACCAAGGCGCUUGAGAGAACUCGGGUGAAGGAACUAGGCAAAAUGGUGCCGUAACUUCGGGAGAAGGCACGCUGGUGUGUAGGUGAAGUCCCUGCGGAUGGAGCUGAGACCAGUCGAAGAUACCAGCUGGCUGCAACUGUUUAUUAAAAACACAGCACUGUGCAAACACGAAAGUGGACGUAUACGGUGUGACGCCUGCCCGGUGCCGGAAGGUUAAUUGAUGGGGUUAUCCGUAAGGAGAAGCUCUUGAUCGAAGCCCCGGUAAACGGCGGCCGUAACUAUAACGGUCCUAAGGUAGCGAAAUUCCUUGUCGGGUAAGUUCCGACCUGCACGAAUGGCGUAAUGAUGGCCAGGCUGUCUCCACCCGAGACUCAGUGAAAUUGAACUCGCUGUGAAGAUGCAGUGUACCCGCGGCAAGACGGAAAGACCCCGUGAACCUUUACUAUAGCUUGACACUGAACAUUGAGCCUUGAUGUGUAGGAUAGGUGGGAGGCUUUGAAGCGUGGACGCCAGUCUGCGUGGAGCCAACCUUGAAAUACCACCCUUUAAUGUUUGAUGUUCUAACGUUGGCCCCUUACCGGGGUUGCGGACAGUGUCUGGUGGGUAGUUUGACUGGGGCGGUCUCCUCCCAAAGCGUAACGGAGGAGCACGAAGGUUAGCUAAUCCUGGUCGGACAUCAGGAGGUUAGUGCAAUGGCAUAAGCUAGCUUGACUGCGAGCGUGACGGCGCGAGCAGGUGCGAAAGCAGGUCAUAGUGAUCCGGUGGUUCUGAAUGGAAGGGCCAUCGCUCAACGGAUAAAAGGUACUCCGGGGAUAACAGGCUGAUACCGCCCAAGAGUUCAUAUCGACGGCGGUGUUUGGCACCUCGAUGUCGGCUCAUCACAUCCUGGGGCUGAAGUAGGUCCCAAGGGUAUGGCUGUUCGCCAUUUAAAGUGGUACGCGAGCUGGGUUUAGAACGUCGUGAGACAGUUCGGUCCCUAUCUGCCGUGGGCGCUGGAGAAUUGAGGGGGGCUGCUCCUAGUACGAGAGGACCGGAGUGGACGCAUCACUGGUGUUCGGGUUGUCAUGCCAAUGGCACUGCCCGGUAGCUAAAUGCGGAAGAGAUAAGUGCUGAAAGCAUCUAAGCACGAAACUUGCCCCGAGAUGAGUUCUCCCUGAGACUUUAAGUCUCCUGAAGGAACGUUGAAGACGACGACGUUGAUAGGCCGGGUGUGUAAGCGCAGCGAUGCGUUGAGCUAACCGGUACUAAUGAACCGUGAGGCUUAACCUUACAACGCCGAAG
rnacentral:rRNA from 1 species